UAUUCCAAUAGGCUUGCUGUUUAUAACAGCCGCCUUCUAUAAAAGAGCGGUCCUUUCCUUUGUUCCCUAAACUUGCUUGUGGUGUUCGCAUAGCUUCCGCGUCCCAGUUUGUAGUUCUCUGCUAUUCCUUAAUAAGUGCAUUUUUGCUGGUUAAAGAACCAGAAGUUUUAUUUUUAAGGUUAUUAGUCUCCAAGAGAAAGUAUAAGUUUUUAGCGACUGGCAUAGCCUGAGCAGACAACUAGCGAGAACAAACAGCGGCUAGAGCACGGAGUGGGUGUUGAAGCCUCUUGUCACCCCCUCCGUAGCACCAGGCACCACCUCAGCUGCUGAUCCAUGGGGAAGUCUUUUCUAGGAUAUUUGGAGGAAGAUACUACAUUUUCUUUUCAAAGACUGAGGAAACGAUAUCCAUGAGGUUCAACAGCUUCUCAAGCUCUCACAGCUGGCUUUGAUGGGCACAUCCCGAAAGGUCUCAGCCUUGAAAAUAAAGUGGAAACAAGAGGCAGAAGCUGUGUGGCGAGCCAGUCAUGGUGGGGAAGAGAUAGGACAGCGCUCAGGCAUGGGUUCCCAGUCUGGUGAAGUCCUGAGGUGCCGUUCAGGAGACAUCUGUGCUGUGAAAGUGAACACUGCUGGGGAGGUGAGUACCACAGAAAGGCCAUGAGGCUGAAGAGAAACAAACUGUGGUGACCAGUGGGGCAACGUUGGUUUUCAACAUGCAUUUUCUAGAUAUUAAAUUACUUUACCCUAUACUCCAAACAAUCAAGAAUUGACAAAUAUAUUUAACAAAUACAUUUAUGGCAACUGCGAGGAAUAUGAAAUUAAAAAAAUUUUUAACAUUUAUUCAUUUUUUGAGAGACAGAGAGAGACAGUACGAGCCAGGGAAGGACAGAGAGA